rnacentral:miRNA from 2 species
CCACCUGUCAUUUUGCUCGAACC